GAUGAAGAACGCAGCGAAAUGCGAUACGUAAUGUGAAUUGCAGAAUUCAGUGAAUCAUCGAAUCUUUGAACGCGUAUUGCGCUCUCUGGUAUUCCGGAGAGCAUGCUUGUUUGAGUAUCAGUAAACACCUCAACUCCCCUUUCUUUUUUUGAAAUGGGAGCUGGACUUGAGUGAUCCCAACGCUUUUCUCACCGAAAAGUGGCGGGUUACUUGAAAUGCAGGUGCAGCUGGACUUUUCUCUGAGCUAAAAGCAUAUCUAUUUAGUCUGCCUAAAAAACAGAUUAUUACCUUUGCUGCAGCUAACAUAAAGGAGAUUAGUUCUUGUGCUGACUGAUGCAGGAUUCACAGAGACAGCUUCGGCUGGCCUUUGUAAACUCGAUCUCAAAUCAAGUAAGACUACCCGCUGAACUUAAGCAUAUCAAUAAGCGGAGGA
rnacentral:misc_RNA from 1 species